UGAGGAAUUUUGCGCAAUGGGGGAAACCCUGACGCAGCAACGCCGCGUGAGUGAUGAAGGCCUUCGGGUCGUAAAGCUCUGUCAAGUGGGAAGAACCUGCUCUGUAAUAACACCACGGGGCACCGACGGUACCACUGAAGGAAGCACCGGCUAACUCCGUGCCAGCAGCCGCGGUAAGACGUAGGGGGCGAGCGUUGUCCGGAAUUACUGGGUGUAAAGAGCUCGUAGGCGGGAUCGUAAGUCUAGAGCAAAAUACCAUGGCUCAACUGUGGUGUGAUUUUGGAAACUGCGAUUCUUGAGGACUGGAGAGGAAAGUGGAAUUCCCGGUGUAGCGGUGGAAUGCGUAGAUAUCGGGAGGAACACCAGUGGCGAAGGCGACUUUCUGGCCAGUUCCUGACGCUGAGGAGCGAAAGCUGGGGGAGCGAACGGGAUUAGAUACCCCGGUAGUCCCAGCUGUAAACGAUGGACACUAGGUGUAGGUGGUGUCGUGCCAUCUGUGCCGCAGGUAACCCAUUAAGUGCCCCGCCUGGGGAGUACGGCCGCAAGGUUG
rnacentral:rRNA from 1 species